AGUAUCUUGGCAUCAAUUAAUCACAGUGUUUGUAAUCCAGGGUUUGCCAUACUUUUCACUGAUUAACAGUAUCAAACACUUAUUUUCCCUUUAAAGAUGCUCUAUAGAUGAAAACAUAUUUACAAAACUUCUUCCAGAAUAAAAACAAUAAUCAUGCAGGUAAUCAAGUACAAUGUAACUGCUGAGCUUUUGAGUUAAAGACCUGUCCAGGCUGCAGCAUCAUUUUUGCUUUGUUAUUGUACGCAGAAAGCUAAUAAAAAAAUAAUUUUGAAAAAAAAAAUUACAUUAGUGAUUUGCCAGAGCGAAUGUAGAUGUCAAAAAUGCUAAUGCAGAGAAGCUGUCAGGAGUUUAAAUAGAUUUUUCACUGACUUGCCGUUCUUAAUUAUAGCUCAGCACCCUGUACAGGUUAAAAAAUGCUGGGUUCCUUCGAAACAAACUACGAGCUCCUUGCCAUCUCAUCAAAUUCUCCUUCUCUUUCUUUCAAAUGGAUCAAUCAGAUGCCAACACAUAACAUUUUUCACUUACAUCUUUUCUUAAGCUUCCUUAUCCGCUGCAAUUAUAUUUUUACCCAAACCUAUCCUGAAGGGGAUAGAAGAGAUUUCAUGGAAGAAGCAUAAUUGGCAAUUGAGUUGCUCUUUUCGUGGGCUCCUUUUAUGAGAAAAGAUAACGUUCUGUGUGGUGGAAAUUCAGCACUUAAAUUAGGGGGUAUGCUGGCUACUUAGUUAAAUAAUCUAGAAUAAUCAGGUCAGGAGGGAAUAGCACAUGGCUUUGGCUGAAUGUUUUGUGUUAAUUUUUCAGAUAAUGUAAUUCCACGCACUACCCGGGGCUCAGGGGCGCAUCAGCAAAGCGCCUGCGAGCACGGGAUUGACAGGCUGCUGCUCCAAUCCUCUGACAGGCACAGGGAGCCAUGGAAAAGGGAUCCUUUGUUCUUUGGGGGCUGUUGAGUUCCAUCAGUGCCAUCCUCGGAGCCCUGGGCACCGUGUUAAUGCUAAUGCUGUUAGGGAGAUGGAGAGCCGCCAGGAGGGAGCAGUAAUCAGCUCACAGAAUCACUGCACAUAUUCAUGGAGCUUGUUGUGGGGUGAGAUCCCAGAGCCCUGAGCCUUCCUGAGGAGAACAGGAAAAUCCAGCUAACAUCUCCCUGUCACCCUCCUGGGCUGCUUUCACUGCAGACGACCUUGGGCAGCUGUGCUGCAGUUCUGCCAGACUCCAAUGAUGUCUUUAGUUCACCGUGUGUUGGGUUUUGCCCAAACAGAAGGCCUGGCUCUGAGCACACCUCUCACCAUGGGGAGGAGUUGCUGACAGAAGUUCCCUCAGCAGCCUUGGCAUGCUCUGAGCUGAGCUGUGGCACAGAUGGAUUUCAGGACUCGCUCGUCCUUGGGGAUGUCCAACACAACUGCUGGGAGGCAAGGAUGAGUUUCCACAGACGAGGAUGAGUUUCCAGAGGCAAGGAUGAGUUUCCACAGACAAGGAUGAGUUUGCACAGGCAAGGAUGAAUUUCCACAGACAAGGAUGAAUUUCCACAGCCUGCUCUCCACAUCCCUGCUCCUCUGACAAGCAGCCUGCAAUGGCACUGGCAGAUAUUUCAUGACAGUGACCCUCCAUGGUAACCCCAUGGCUCAAGGCUUCCAUGGGGACAUCAUCCACCAGGUCUGGUCCUAAUCACCACAGGGAGGGCUCUGAAGGGAGUGAGGAUCCUGAUGGAGAGAAGAAGGCAGCAUGGACAGCUUCUGGACAUAAAGUUUUCCUUCUCGUGGCUGUGCAAUCCACAGGGACAGAGGUACAAGACUUGUCACUGGCUGUGCUAAUGCCACGGAGAUGUUCUACAUGAAUUUGGUAUCUGCAGUCAUCACAGGAGAUCCUCCUCCUACUGGAACACACUACUCUGCAGCAUGGCACUGCACAUUUAACUCCAAGGAAUGUAAUUUGUCCUAAGAACUGCAUCCUACAGAGAAUAAAGCAGAAAACACACUCUGCUGGUAGCUUCUCUCAGAGGAUUACUGUAAAACUAAGCUAAUAACAAUGCAACAUUCCUUCAAAAACUGAAAUCUUGCUCACAUGCUAAGAAGCUGUAAGAGUAACAGCAUCAUCUGGUGGCUCCUGCCACAAAGAAUGGAUUAAUUGAUUUUUUUUUUGUUCUACUUUCAUUUAAAUUCCUCAUCUCUCAGGUGAGGCCAGGUCCUGAAGGAAUAUGUGAGAGGAGAAACAGACGGAAAAUGAUAAAAAUGAGAGAAGAUAUGUUUUACUGCGAGGAAGAAUUUGACCAUUUUCUAUUGUAUUCUGAGAAAUAAGCCUACUACACCCAAGCGUUCAAGCCUCUGUUCCAGGGAGCCUCUUUAGGCAUCACCUUCACCAGGUUCUUACUCCUCCUUCCCCUUCUCCUUUGGGCAGAGCAGAGCAGCAGCACCAGAGCUGCUCUCAGAGCUGGGCACUGCUGUGGCAGCCUGGAGGGGAUGAGAGCCCCAGGAACGUGGGACAGAAUCCUCCACAAACCACCUGGAUGAAGGGUGUGCCUUGGGAAAGAUCAUCUGCCACAGACGUCUUUCAUGGAAAAUCCUUUCCUUAGGGUUUUUCGUCCUGAGAAGCUGAGACGCCUCAGGAACAAAAUGCAAACAAUGGU